rnacentral:tRNA from 1 species
GGUCCCAUGGUGUAAUGGUUAGCACUCUGGACUCUGAAUCCAUCUACCCGAGUUCAAAUCUCGGUUUGACCU